AUUGGAGCGGCCGAUGGCAGAUUAGGUAGUUGGUGGGAUAAAAGCUUACCAAGCCGACGAUCUGUAGCUGGUCUGAGAGGACGACCAGCCACACUGGGACUGAGACACGGCCCAGACUCCUACGGGAGGCAGCAGUGGGGAAUUUUGGACAAUGGGCGAAAGCCUGAUCCAGCAAUGCCGCGUGCAGGAUGAAGGCCUUCGGGUUGUAAACUGCUUUUGUACGGAACGAAAAAGCUUCUCCUAAUACGAGAGGCC
rnacentral:rRNA from 1 species